AAAAAUUUCUUUUUUCGUUGAUUUGAUGAACCACUUGCUAUUUUUCUAUCGACUUCUGGGUGGGAUUAUAAAGAAUCUUCUAGCUUUUUGUUACAUCAACAGGAACUUGAGUGAAAUUGAGAAGAGAUGCUCUUGAGGGGGUGCACAUAGUUUCUCCAUAGUAGUUGUUCAAAAGAAUACCAUUCAUCGCCAAGGCGUCUAUGUUAGGCGUCGGAAUUUCUGGAGAUCCAUGGAAACUCACAUCAUUCCAUCCCUAGGGGAAAAUAUGUAUAUUUUAACGAAGUCAAUGUUAUAGUUAUGUUUUAGAGGCUAAAAUAAAACGAAAUAUAUGAAGAAAAAAUUUAUUAUCAAACUAGCGUUUGUGUCAAUACAUACAUUUAAUCGAUUAUUUCUGUAAACUUAAUUUAGUUAAUAAAUUAUAUUUGGACACAGUA